AAAUUGAAGAGUUUGAUCAUGGCUCAGAUUGAACGCUGGCGGCAGGCCUAACACAUGCAAGUCGAACGGUAACAGGAAGCAGCUUGCUGCUUCGCUGACGAGUGGCGGACGGGUGAGUAAUGUCUGGGAAACUGCCUGAUGGAGGGGGAUAACUACUGGAAACGGUGGCUAAUACCGCAUAACGUCGCAAGACCAAAGAGGGGGACCUUCGGGCCUCUUGCCAUCAGAUGUGCCCAGAUGGGAUUAGCUUGUUGGUGAGGUAACGGCUCACCAAGGCGACGAUCCCUAGCUGGUCUGAGAGGAUGACCAGCCACACUGGAACUGAGACACGGUCCAGACUCCUACGGGAGGCAGCAGUGGGGAAUAUUGCACAAUGGGCGCAAGCCUGAUGCAGCCAUGCCGCGUGUAUGAAGA
rnacentral:rRNA from 3 species